rnacentral:lncRNA from 1 species
CUCGUUUCUAGCAAUGUAUCACUCUCUACUGUCCUUAUAUAUUAUUCUAUAUUCUGCGUUUCCAUCCAGAUUCUCGUGUAUACCAUGAGGGUCCGGAUUGGGGGUAUUGUUUAUUUCUGUAUUCUUUAAAUUGUUAUGUGAUUUUUUUUCUACAUUUUAUUUAUCUUACUCAUUAUUCUUUCUUUAUUUUUCAUAUUUUGUCAUCCCAAUAUAUUUUACUUACUGAUGUUUAGUUACAUUACGACGUUUAUC